GACGAACGCUGGCGGCGUGCUUAACACAUGCAAGUCGAACGAAGUGGCGAACGGGUGAGUAACGCGGAAUCACCCUGCCCUUCAGAGGGGGACAACAGUUGGAAACGACUGAUAAUACCGCAUACUGAAGGUGGGGAUUCCGUCUGAUUAGCUAGUUGGUGGGGUAACGGCCCACCAAGGCGAUGAUCAGUAGCCGGUCGGAGAGGAUGAACGGCCACACUGGGAAUGAGAAACGGCCCAGACGCCUACGGGAGGCAGCAGUGGGGAAUCUUGCGGAAUGGAGGAAAGUCUGAAGGAGCAAAGGCGGGGGAGUGAUGAAGGGCUUCGGGUUCUAAAGCUUUGUUAAUCGGGACGCGGUACCGAAAUAGAAAGCCACGGCUAACUACGUGCCAGCAGCCGCGGUAAUAC
rnacentral:rRNA from 1 species